UGGGGAAUAUUGCACAAUGGGCGCAAGCCUGAUGCAGCAACGCCGCGUGAGGGAUGACGGCCUUCGGGUUGUAAACCUCUUUUAGUAGGGAAGAAGCGAAAGUGACGGUACCUGCAGAAAAAGCACCGGCUAACUACGUGCCAGCAGCCGCGGUAAUACGUAGGGUGCGAGCGUUGUCCGGAAUUAUUGGGCGUAAAGAGCUCGUAGGCGGUCUGUCGCGUCUGCUGUGAAAACCCGAGGCUCAACCUCGGGCCUGCAGUGGGUACGGGCAGACUAGAGUGCGGUAGGGGAGAAUGGAAUUCCUGGUGUAGCGGUGGAAUGCGCAGAUAUCAGGAGGAACACCGAUGGCGAAGGCAGUUCUCUGGGCCGUAACUGACGCUGAGGAGCGAAAGCGUGGGGAGCGAACAGGAUUAGAUACCCUGGUAGUCCACGCCGUAAACGUUGGGCGCUAGAUGUGGGGCACCAUUCCACGGUUUCCGUGUCGCAGCUAACGCAUUAAGCGCCCGCCUGGGGAGUACGGCCGCAAGGCUAAAACUU
rnacentral:rRNA from 1 species